rnacentral:rRNA from 1 species
CGCCGCGUGCGGGAUGACGGCCUUCGGGUUGUAAACCGCUUUCAGCACGGACGAAACGAAAGUGACGGUAUGCGCAGAAGAAGCACCGGCCAACUACGUGCCACCAGCCGCGGUGAUACGUAGGGUGCGAGCGUUGUCCGGAAUUAUUGGGCGUAAAGAGCUUGUAGGCGGUCAGUCGCGUCUGAAGUGAAAACUCAGGGCUUAACCCUGAGCCUGCUUCCGAUACGGGCUGACUAGAGGAAGGUAAGGGAGAAUGGAAUUCCUGGUGGAUCGGUGGAAUGCACACAUAUCAGGAGGAACACCCGUGGCGAAAGCCGUUCUCUGGACCUUUCCUGACACUGAGAAACGAAAGCGUGGGGAGCAAAAAGGCUUACAUACCCUGGUAGUCCCCUCCCUAAACGGUGGGCACUAGGUGUGGGGAACAUUCAACGUUAUCCCUGCCGUAACUAACGCAUUAAGUACCCCGCCGGGGGAGUACGGCCGCAAGGCUAACACUGAAUGGAAUGGGGGGGGGG